AACUAACGAUUUUUUGUUACAGUUCUGUACUAUAUUGGUAUGAGAAACUUCCAGAACUUUCAUAGUUCCAGGGAAAUUUUGGAACAAUAGCCUUCGGGCUGU
rnacentral:misc_RNA from 1 species